AUGGAUGCGCUCACUGACUGGGAUUUCUCGUAUGGCCAGAAGGUGGCCGAUCAGGUUCAUCGUCAUUUUCACUCUUCGAUCCACUUCAAUGGAUCUGUCUCUUCUUCGGAGUUCUUCUUGGUGGUUCUUUUCCAUUCGAGUUCUUUUCACUUGGAUGUGGAUUCAGUCUCCAUGGCGCUCUGCUCCUACUUGGGAGGCAAUCUCAAGAGGUUCAACAUGAUUAUGCUCUUGGAUAAUCUUUUCCAUUUCAUGGUUGCAUCAAAUCGGGUGGGUCAUUUCAUUUGUGCUAUGAAGGGUUGCCGCAUGCCAGCGUUCCAUUGUUCUUUCAAUCUCUUUCAUGGCAAGCCCUUUGUUCUGGAUCGUGGGAAGCCCAAGGUUGGUUCGGAAUGGAUGUUGCAUACAAAUCGGAAGCGUUCGCCUCAACGUUAUCUUCAUAACAUUCCGCCAGAUCUCUUAAAUGCUAUGCAUGGCCAUCAACGUAAACCCCUAGGUAUUAAGACUCGUCUGGCAAAUUGUUGUGCCUCUAGCGCAUAG
rnacentral:rRNA from 1 species